rnacentral:tRNA from 1 species
UCCCCAUUGGCUUAACUGUAAAGAAUCUGCCUGCCAAGCAGGAGACGUGGGUUCAAUCCCUUGGUUGGGAA